GGCGCCGCCGCCUCCACCGCCUGGGACGCAGGGGUGGGGGACGGACGAGCCCCGAUGCCGGGGGAGACGGAGGAGCCGCGAUCCCCGGAGCAGCAGGACCAGGAAGGGGGCCCGGCAGCGGCGGCCGACGCGGCUUCGGACGAGCUCCGGUCCGGCGUGGCGGCGGCGGCGAAGCCUGCAGAGACUGCGAGCAGCCGCGUGCUGAGAGGAGGUCGGGAUCGCGGCCGGACCGCUGCGGCCG
rnacentral:lncRNA from 1 species